rnacentral:rRNA from 1 species
AUACGGAGGGUGCAAGCGUUGUUCGGAAUUACUGGGCGUAAAGCGCGCGUAGGCGGUCUGUUAUGUCAGAUGUGAAAGUCCACGGCUCAACCGUGGAAGUGCAUUUGAAACUGGCAGACUUGAGUACUGGAGGGGGUAGUGGAAUUCCCGGUGUAGAGGUGAAAUUCGUAGAUAUCGGGAGGAAUACCGGUGGCGAAGGCGACUCACUGGCCCGAUACUGACGCUGAGGCGCGAAAGCGUGGGGAGCAAACAGGAUUAGAUACCCUAGUAGUCC